GACGAACGCUGGCGGCGUGCCUAAUACAUGCAAGUUGAGCGCUGAAGGUUGGUACUUGUACCGACUGGAUGAGCAGCGAACGGGUGAGUAACGCGUGGGGAAUCUGCCUUUGAGCGGGGGACAACAUUUGGAAACGAAUGCUAAUACCGCAUAAAAACUUUAAACACAAGUUUUAAGUUUGAAAGAUGCAAUUGCAUCACUCAAAGAUGAUCCCGCGUUGUAUUAGCUAGUUGGUGAGGUAAAGGCUCACCAAGGCGAUGAUACAUAGCCGACCUGAGAGGGUGAUCGGCCACAUUGGGACUGAGACACGGCCCAAAAUCCUACGGGAGGCAGCAGUAGGGAAUCUUCGGCAAUGGACGAAAGGCUGACCGAGCAACGCCGCGUGAGUGAAGAAGGUUUUCGGAUCGUAAAACUCGGUUGGUAGAGAAGAACGUUGGUGAGAGUGGAAAGCUCAUCAAGUGACGGUAACUACCCAGAAAGGGACGGCUAACUACGUG
rnacentral:rRNA from 1 species